AGGACGAACGCUGGCGGCGUGCCUAACACAUGCAAGUCGAACGGAGCUGAGGAGCUUGCUUCUCAGCUUAGUGGCGGACGGGUGAGUAACGCGUGAGUAACCUGCCUCCGAGAGUGGAAUAACGUUUUGAAAAGAACGCUAAUACCGCAUAAUAUUAUGAAGUCGCAUGGCUUUAUAAUCAAAGAUUAUAUCGCUCGGAGAUGGACUCGCGUCCGAUUAGUUAGUUGGUGAGGUAACGGCUCACCAAGACCGCGAUCGGUAGCCGGACUGAGAGGUUGAACGGCCACAUUGGGACUGAGACACGGCCCAGACUCCUACGGGAGGCAGCAGUGGGGGAUAUUGCGCAAUGGGGGCAAACCCCUGACGCAGCAACGCCGCGUGAAGGAUGAAGGUUUUCGGAUUGUAAACUUCUUUUAUCAGGGACGAAAUUUGACGGUACCUGAAGAAUAAGCUCCGGCUAACUACGUGCCAGCCGCCGC
rnacentral:rRNA from 1 species